rnacentral:lncRNA from 1 species
UAAGCUAAAAGGAGAAAGCUGCAAGGCCCGAAAUGCACAAAAAGAGAAAAAAAGUCCAACUAAGCACCAGAGUAUCUGGCAUAAGGGAGCUCAUUCUCGCUCAAGCGAGUCUCGCUUGAGCAAGAAUGCGUCACACAAUUUGGGCCAUUUUUAUGUUUUGAUCGAUAAGGCCAUUAGUGUGACGCAGGACGUCACCUAACCCUAGUAAAUUAGGUUAAAUAGGAGGCUAUAAGCUAAACCCUAGUGUGCCAGAUUGAGAGGAAAAUACCAUAGAGUGACUUGUAACCAAUUGAGAGAAUAGAAGGCUAGAAGAUGUGUGGCUAAUUCUACCCUUUGGGGAUUGUAAGUAAUUUG